rnacentral:rRNA from 1 species
AUGAAAGACGGAAAAAAAUCGUUGGCUUAUCAAAUUCUCUAUCGAGCCGUGAAAAAGAUUCAACAAAAGACAUAAACAAAUCCAGUAUUGGUUUUAUGUCAAGCAAUACAUAGAGUAACUCCCAAUAUAGGAGUAAAAACAAGACGUAAUAAAAAAGGAUCGACGCGGAAAGUUCCGAUUGAAAUAGGAUCUAAACAAGGAAGAGCACUUGCCAUUCGUUGGUUAUAG